rnacentral:rRNA from 1 species
GAGGAAACGAUUCUAGGCUUGCUAGAAGGCGUCGACCGGCGGACGGGUGAGUAAUGCAUGGGAAUCUGCCCGAUAGUGGGGGACAACCUGGGGAAACUCAGGCUAAUACCGCAUACGUCCUACGGGAGAAAGCAGGGGAUCUUCGGACCUUGCGCUAUCGGAUGAGCCCAUGUCGGAUUAGCUAGUUGGUGAGGUAAUGGCUCACCAAGGCGACGAUCCGUAGCUGGUCUGAGAGGAUGAUCAGCCACACUGGGACUGAGACACGGCCCAGACUCCUACGGGAGGCAGCAGUGGGGAAUAUUGGACAAUGGGCGCAAGCCUGAUCCAGCCAUGCCGCGUGUGUGAAGAAGGCCUUCGGGUUGUAAAGCACUUUCAGCGAGGAAGAAAGCUUCUGGAUUAAUACUCUGGAGGAAGGG